GAUGAACGCUGGCGGCGUGCCUAAUACAUGCAAGUCGAGCGAACGGACGAGAAGCUUGCUUUUCUGAUGUUAGCGGCGGACGGGUGAGUAACACGUGGAUAACCUACCUAUAAGACUGGGAUAACUUCGGGAAACCGGAGCUAAUACCGGAUAAUAUUUUGAACCGCAUGGUUCAAAAGUGAAAGACGGUCUUGCUGUCACUUAUAGAUGGAUCCGCGCUGCAUUAGCUAGUUGGUAAGGUAACGGCUUACCAAGGCAACGAUGCAUAGCCGACCUGAGAGGGUGAUCGGCCACACUGGAACUGAGACACGGUCCAGACUCCUACGGGAGGCAGCAGUAGGGAAUCUUCCGCAAUGGGCGAAAGCCUGACGGAGCAACGCCGCGUGAGUGAUGAAGGUCUUCGGAUCGUAAAACUCUGUUAUUAGGGAAGAACAUAUGUGUAAGUAACUGUGCACAUCUUGACGGUACCUAAUCAGAAAGCCACGGCUAACUACGUGCCAGCAGCCGCGGUAAUACGUAGGUGGCAAGCGUUAUCCGGAAUUACUGGGCGUAAAGCGCGCGUAGGCGGUUUUUUAAGUCUGAUGUGAAAGCCCACGGCUCAACCGUGGAGGGUCAUUGGAAACUGGAAAACUUGAGUGCAGAAGAGGAAAGUGGAAUUCCAUGUGUAGCGGUGAAAUGCGCAGAGAUAUGGAGGAACACCAGUGGCGAAGGCGACUUUCUGGUCUGUAACUGACGCUGAUGUGCGAAAGCGUGGGGAUCAAACAGGAUUAGAUACCCUGGUAGUCCACGCCGUAAACGAUGAGUGCUAAGUGUUAGGGGGUUUCCGCCCCUUAGUGCUGCAGCUAACGCAUUAAGCACUCCGCCUGGGGAGUACGACCGCAAGGUUGAAACUCAAAGGAAUUGACGGGGACCCGCACAAGCGGUGGAGCAUGUGGUUUAAUUCGAAGCAACGCGAAGAACCUUACCAAAUCUUGACAUCCUUUGACAACUCUAGAGAUGGAGCCUUCCCCUUCGGGGGACAAAGUGACAGGUGGUGCAUGGUUGUCGUCAGCUCGUGUCGUGAGAUGUUGGGUUAAGUCCCGCAACGAGCGCAACCCUUAAGCUUAGUUGCCAUCAUUAAGUUGGGCACUCUAAGUUGACUGCCGGUGACAAACCGAAGGAAGGUGGGGAUGACGUCAAAUCAUCAUGCCCCUUAUGAUUUGGGCUACACACGUGCUACAAUGGACAAUACAAAGGGCAGCGAAACCGCGAGGUCAAGCAAAUCCCAUAAAGUUGUUCUCAGUUCGGAUUGUAGUCUGCAACUCGACUACAUGAAGCUGGAAUCGCUAGUAAUCGUAGAUCAGCAUGCUACGGUGAAUACGUUCCCGGGUCU
rnacentral:rRNA from 1 species